rnacentral:rRNA from 1 species
AUUGAACGCUGGCGGCAUGCUUUACACAUGCAAGUCGAACGGCAGCGCGGGCUUCGGCCUGGCUGCGAGUGGCGAACGGGUGAGUAAUGCAUCUGAACGUGCCCAGUAGUGGGGUAUAGCCCGGCGAAAGCCGGAUUAAUACCGCAUACGACCUGAGGGUGAAAGCGGGGGACCGAAAGGCCUCGCGCUAUUGGAGCGGCCGAUGUCGGAUUAGCUAGUUGGUUGGGUAAAGGCUUACCAAGGCGACGAUCCGUAGCUGGUCUGAGAGGACGACCAGCCACACUGGGACUGAGACACGGCCCAGACUCCUACGGGAGGCAGCAGUGGGGAAUUUUGGACAAUGGGGGCAACCCUGAUCCAGCCAUGCCGCGUGCGGGAAGAAGGCCUUCGGGUUGUAAACCGCUUUUGUUCGGGAAGAAAUCCUCUGGGCUAAUACCCAGGGGGGAUGACGGUAACGGAAGAAGAAGCACCGGCUAACUACGUG